rnacentral:rRNA from 1 species
CCUACGGGUGGCAGCAGUGAGGAAUAUUGGUCAAUGGGCGCAAGCCUGAACCAGCCAAGUCGCGUGAGGGAUGAAGGCUCUAUGGUUGGUAAACUUCUUUUAUAAGGGAAUAAAGUGGGGGACGUGUCCUAUUUUGUAUGUACCUUAUGAAUAAGGAUCGGCUAACUCCGUGCCAGCAGCCGCGGUAAUACGGAGGAUCCGAGCGUUAUCCGGAUUUAUUGGGUUUAAAGGGUGCGUAGGUGGCCUUUUAAGUCAGCGGUGAAAGUUUGUGGCUCAACCAUAGAAUUGCAGUUGAAACUGGUGGGCUUGAGUAUGUUUGAGGCAGGCGGAAUGCGUGGUGUAGCGGUGAAAUGCUUAGAUAUCACGCAGAACCCCGAUUGCGAAGGCAGCCUGCCAAACAGUGACUGACGCUGAUGCGCGAAAGCGUGGGGAUCAAACAGGAUUAGAUACCCCUGUAGUC